rnacentral:tRNA from 1 species
AAGACUUUAAGUUAAUAAAACUUUUAUCCUUCAAAGCUAAAAAUAAAGAAGUAUCUUUAAGUCUUA